GCCAAUGCAAUGAGACAAUUGACACAUAUGACAAGGAUUUUAGCAACCCCUAUCACUUUACCACCUUCAACAAAGAGAAAAAUCUAUACUGUAUUGUUAACUAUGAAAGUCUAGUCCACAACAUAAAAAAAUGUGAAGCAUUCAAAGGUAAAAUUAAAGGCCUGAUGAAUGAUAAAUCAAUUAUAAAGAAAAACAUUAUAUUUAAUGUCAGG
rnacentral:lncRNA from 1 species